CAUCUGCUCUACAGAAAUCCUGCUGUGGAUGUCAGAAAUACAGCAAAUGUGAGCUGGUCUCUUCUGCUUCAGCAAAAAGAGAUUUUCAGUGUAAUUAGUGUAGAACCAAGUGACAGAAUCCCUUCCUGGGGUUCCUGGUCGUGCAGGUGAACCCAGGUCCUGACCCACAGCUGAGGCCACAGCUGUACCAGUUUAUCCCAUAAAUAAUUCCUGAAACUGCUUCUCAGUCUGGCAUUUUCAUCCGGAUCAAACGGACAUUCGAUCCCUCUCUUCACCUCUCUCUGCUCACAUAUAAAGCCAAAAUCUGCAUAUUCUGAACCCACCAUCUGCUGCGUCUGCCUUGCCCUGGCUCCUGUUACAGUUUCAGCUCCGGCUGCUCCUGCAGGCAGCAGCUGCCUUUGGGAGAGGAAAUUAGGAGCUGGGACAAGUUAUCUUGUUAUUUUCCACCAUUAUUUUUUCCCCUCAACUUCAUGUCAGUUUAUUUGUGUAACACAGCUGAGUCCUUCCCGUGCUGUGGCGGAUCACAGGGGUUUAUUCCAUGUUUCCAGCCAGCUCCUUCUGCCACGAUGCAGCCACUACAUGUGUUUGAGGCAGGAGCAAAAUAUCGUGGGAGAGAUGGAGAUGGGAAGGUGCAGUGCCUGGGCAAAGGUGGUUUUGGAAGGCACUGCAGAGCCUGGGGGACAGGCCAGGCAUGGCCACCUCUGCACUGGGAAGUGUGAAGGAUCAAUGGAUCACUUAUUUUGGGACACAUGAGGAAAAGUCCUGUGAUGCAAGUGGGCUUUGCAGCUGGACACUGGAUGGGGAGAGAGAUCAAUGGAGGUGAGCAGUGAACACAUGGAAAGUUGAGGUUUUUUCCAAGGAAUACCCAGGUGGGUUGGUGUGGGCUGGUGGGGGUUUUUUUUGUGUUUAUUUAAAUAAACACAGAAGUAAGAAAAUUACCCCUUUAGAUAUCUUUUUUAUAGCCACCAUCUCCAUGACACCUCUAUGAGCAAGGCCUGAAAUCCUCACCUGCCUCCCCCCUCUGCAUCACCCACUGCUGGGCUCACCCUGACCAGCUCCUGGGGAACCUGCUUGGAACUGGGAAGCCAAUGGAUAGCUGGGGAUGGAGAGGCAGAAACAGGACACACUCGUUUUGUGUGUCCUUCUAUAAAAAAACCCCUGAUCAAACUCAGAAAUUAAUGUGCUGGGGUAAGAGUAUUAAUUUUUGGAAACUGCUAAGGUUGUCUGUAAAAAUACUUCAGUAUGAUGCACUUCUGGAGGGAGUUUCUAUAGUUAUUUGAAUACAUAUAUGCAAAUAUUAUGAUACUCAAAUAUUAUUUAAAUAAUAAUAUAAUAUACAAAACAGUUGCUUUUAUUAUCCCACUUUGUUAUAAUUUUACUGCAGUGAACCACCACUAACAAGUUAUCCCUGCUUCUCUCUGGGACACAGGGACUCACUUGCUGUUGCUCUCCAUUAACUCUCAGUGUGCCUCCUCAGUCAGGGUUUUAUGAUAAUAACACAAAACUGCUUUUAUGUCAGGGAGUUGGAACUAGAUGACCUUUAAGGUCCCUUCCAACCCAGGAUUCCAUAAUUUUAAAGCAUGGAAGUGAGUGAUACAUCCUUCAAGUCAUUACCCUGUGAUUUUUGCUGUGGAUGUUCCACAUUAUGUGUUCUCUGUUGCAGAAAAGAUAAUUAAAAUGCAGGUUUCUGGUAGGAAUUUCUGCAAGAGGAAGGAUCCCGUUCUUCCAGUCCUCCUUCUGCUGAGAAAGCAAUAGGAAUUACUUUUAUCAAGGUUUGAAUUAAGUCCAUAGGCCGUGUCGUGCAUCCAGAUUAUUCCAACAUGCCGCAAUCAAACUCUGGGAUUUCAGUGCUGACCCAGUGCCCAGAUGCUGCAGUUGACAAGGACGUGGUGGCAGCGCUGUGGCUCUCACAGCAGAGCUCUGCAGUGCUGGCACCCAGCCCCAGCAACACCAAAAGGACCAAAAAAUAGCUGCCUUUCAAGAAGAGCCAAACUGGAAAGACACAGAAUCCUUGUGGAUGGAAAACCAGGAGGUUUUGGCAGGUGCCAUUCUGUUCACUAAUGAUUCCAAACAAAAGAAAAGGGAAUUGUCUGUGUGAGACUCUAAUUAAUUACUACCCAUCAGGAGCUGCUUAUGCAAGAGCUGUCAUCAGCAAAGCAGGGCCAGGCACUGAGAGACUCUCCCUAGGAGAGCUGAAAAUCAGUCUUGAUGGCUUCUGAAAUAAUGCAGCGUCCUGCUGGGAGGGAAUGAAUGGAAAAACAAAUUACGAAGAGAGAUGGAGGAAAGGAGAUCCGGGGGGGGGGGGCUUUGAAUGUGGAUGGAAAGAUGUGGCCAGCGAGGCCUCUGGGCUGUGUGGGGCCUGUGUGUGAUAAAGGUCAUGACAGUGCCCACCUCUGCAGUUCAUAUCUAAUUAGAGGGUCUUGUUCGGCCUUUCUCACUGCCAGUGAAGUGCAGCCCCCCUCUUUCCAUAGUCCUGGGUGGGCCCUUUCUGGAUGCAAAUGAAGCUCAUUUGCUAUCACUGAAAAUUACUUCAAAAGCAUCCAUUUGUGCCUUCAAAGCUGAGAGGAGCAUUAAGAACAGGUAACAAGCACAGAACUGCCUCGUGCUACUUCUACAAAGCUGUUUCUCAGCAGAGAAACUCAUUUCCAUAUGGCACCAGCUGUGUCACUUGGCAAAGGAGAAGGAGCGACCUGGGCUGGUGGAAGGUGUCCCUGCCCAGGGAACGGGGGUGGAACUGAUGGGCUUUAAGGUCUUUUCCAACCCAGACCAGUCUGGGAUUCUAUAAUUCAAUGAAUGGACAGGGUUGGAAAACCAAGGACUAGAGUCCCUGUUAGUUCUCUCAAAUCCAAGCUGGCAAGGCACAUACACAGGUGGGCAGGAUACCCAGUACAGGCUGUAAAGAAGCACUCAGAGACUUAUUUCAAGCUUCAACUGAUGACUAAAGAGCUGGGCUGGAAGAGCCUGGCACUGAAAGGAUUAUUUAGUCUUGUGGCUGCCUAAUGUCAAAAGAGACCUGCUGCUGUUUGCAUGAACAGCUUGUCAUCCCUCUGCUCCAGCUGGGUGGGCAUGAAAACACCAGCUGAGGGGCUGCUGCCUCAGUGGGGACCAACCUACUCCUCAACACUGGGACCCUGAGGGACCUGUGAGGGGCUCAGCCCUGAUCCCUGUUUCUGCACCAGGUACCUUCCCACAUACCCUGGAAAUUCUUUCUGGCCUGGAGCAGGGACAGAGGUAGCUGCAGAGAGGUUUCUUCCAACAGCUCUUCCUGUUGGGUUUCUUUGUUGGGUUUCUUUUUGUUUUCAAUCCACAGGAUUUUGAAAUGCACUCUGAAAGUACAGACAAUGAUUUAUUUGCUGCUUUGUCUUGUAAUGGUGCGGGUGAAGAUUCUGGGGCACCAGGAGUGGCUGAGGGAGCUGGGGGGGCUCAGCCCUGAGAAAAGGAGGCUCAGGGGGGACCUUCUGGCUCUCUACAACUCCUUGACAGGAGGGUGGAGCCAGGUGGGGGUCGGGCUCUGCUCCCAGGGAACAAGGGACAAGGGGAAACUGCCUCAAGUCACACCAGGGGAGGUUCAGGUUGAAUACUGGGAAAAUUCCUUCCCAUAAAGUGUUGUCCAACCCUAGCACAGCCACCCAGGGCAGAGAGUCCCCAGCCCUGGAGGGAUUUUAAAACUAUGUGGAUGUGUCUCUUGGGGACAUGGUUUAAUGGUGGCCUUGGCAAUGCUUGGAAAUGGUUGGACUCAAUGGUCUCAGAGGGUUUUUCUAAGCUUAAUUAUUCCAUGAUCUGUAAUAUUGUAACUGUGGGUCCUUUAUUCUCUUUUCCUCAUCAGUUGGAUAUGAAAAUAGACAUUGAAUUAGGAGGGGGUGGAACACGAUGAGCUUUAAGAUCCCUGACAGCCCAAACCAUUCCAGGAUUCUAUUCCAUGCAGAAUUCAAGCUUUAAUGUCAUGACUCAAUUCCUUUUGUCUGUUACGUGUAUUACUUGAGUUCGGAUCACUUUAUUAGAUGAAACUUCAGCUGAUUCCUUCAUAAAAUACCAGGACCUUUGCUGUUAUGCAAGACAAGAACUGGAAAAUAUUGUUAGUGGCUGUUUUUUCACAGAAUUCAUCAACAUCUAGACACAGACCCUCCUACGGUUUUAUAAACUGGGCUGGGUACAACACUCGAGUUCCAGGCUGGCAGCCAGAGAGUCCUCACUGCCAGCAGGAGAAUAUUCACCAGCAACUCCCUCUGCAAGUGUCAGCUGGGACCCCCAGCACCACCUUAAUCCUCUCAGGGAUUGGGAUCCUCCCAAAGAGCUCAGGGGAAUGAAUCAGCUCCGUGUCUGCCAGUCUUGUGGCUGAGGAGGAGGAAGAGGAGUGAAGUGCUUGUACUGAUCCAAGGCUGUGGGGAAGCUGCAAAUUGACAUAAGCUUUUUCCUUCCUCAAUUCUUUGCCUGGAAAAACCCACUUAUCUUGUCUUCCCUGAUAAAGUCAACACCUGAUCCUUUCUGGGCACCUUUUGGGCCUGCCAUGAAAGCUGUGGAACCCUGAGCUGAAUCAGUGGAAUGUCCACCUUCUCCAGAGCAGGGCACAAAACAAUCCACCUAUUUUUUCUGCUCUGUUGCAUGUAUUUUCCAGGACAUCCAGCACUUCCCAGCUAUGUCUGUGAUGAUACCCAUGGCUAAGGAUUCUCCUAAUGCCCUUCCUCCCUCUUAGAACCCAGCCUGUAGAGAAAAUUGGGAAUCUGAGAUCUCAGGAAGUGCUGUAAUUCUGCACGGUUGUCUUUAACCAAAAUAUUCUGGUUUCCAAACUUAUUUCAGAAGGACUAGUCAUCCAUGUAGUAAUCCUUAUUGACUUAGGACUAUGAUAAAACCUUUCAUGCCACCACUGCUUCCCAUCUCCAGUCAUCCUGAUGGCUGCAAGCUGCACCUCCAUGCUGGUUUAGGAAUGAGGAAUUCCGGUGGUUGCAUUCUGUCCUUGGCAUUACUUUAGGGCUGCAGGGGAGUGCCUGUAUUUAAAAGCUGCACAGCAUUUUAGAAGAUAUUAAAAUUAAUAAAUUGAGCUUCAGUGGUUUCCUAAGCUUUCCCUUUUCCCAGGUAAAGCUGGUUGGUCUUUGUUAGGGAAGCCAGUCUGGAGGCUGCCUGGACUGCUGUAUUUAUCCAUUUACAUACAUGAUUUGGGAAUCCACAGCAGCCUCCUCAUCCUGAGGAGAGGUGAGAGUGAACAGCCUUAUUAGCAGCCUCUCAAAUGAACUUUUGAAAGGGUAGGAAGUGCAUCUUUCCCAGCACAGCUGGCUGCUCCGUGCAUUUCUCCCAAAUAAGUCCCUAAUAAUGCUUCAGGAAGCUAAGGAGGGCUGGAGUGCCUGCCCUGCACCUCAUCCCUCCUUGCUCAGCUCUUCUCUCUCUCUUGAAAGCAAAAGCAACAAUUCUUCUACUGCUGGUAUGAAAUGUGGAGGGUAAAUCUCCUUGCCUGAUCACAGCAUCUGUUAUUAAUUUAAUAAAAUUAUUUUAAUUCAAUUCUCUUCUAUUUGAUAUAUGUGAGCUUCUUCAGCCACUUCGGCUGCAGUGGAAGGACAGAGAGGGGAGCACAAACAUUCCUUAAUUCUGCCCAAUGAAUUAAUUCAUUGAUCUCUUACAGUAUCCAAGGUCUUUGUUUCCUUUCUCUGUUUCCAUACUGUCCUUUUAAUCCCUUAACACUCUGCAGCCUCCCACCAGUUUUCACCUGAAUCCCCUUUUCUGGUACCAAAACUUUACCAGAAGAGGAGAGAAGAUGACAAAGCCAUUUGGGUUUGCUGAACUGAGGACACAGAGGGAAGCUGUGUGUGUGUGGGGGGGUACUUGCUGUCUUUGCUUGGUGUUGGCAGCACCAAGAAAUCUCCUGAUCCUCUCUGAAAAGAGGGAUUUUGGAGAGAGGAGGACACAAAAUGAAGAGAAAACCCAGAAAAUUUUGCAAAAAACCACAAAAUGGUGUCAGUGGAGGUUCUGGGGCUGCACUGCCUGUUGGGGUGGGGUGGGGUGGUGGAGGGUACAGGAACUUCCUUCUGCCUAAAAUCAGCCAUUAUCAUUCCAAACACAUUUGCUUUUGCUUCCUUUCUCUUUUAAUGGGAAAUGUAUCUUUGUACUGUUUUGACAGGGCCUCACUGAAGCCAUUUAUUCUAUUCUGUACAAGCUCUCCUACCACAUAUUUCUCCAAAGGAUCUCAGUGCAUUAAGCAAAACGACAGACAUCUGCCAGGUUAUUUUUUUUCUCUCAGUCUCCUCAGGAAGAAAAUAAAAUGAAUGCAAUAGUGUCCUAUUUUAGUAAGUUGGACUUUUACCCCGUCCUCUUUCACAUAUGCAUUUCUUUAUUUUUUUAUAACAGAGAAAGCAAAGCCCAAGGGAUGUACACUUCCCACGGAGCAAUAAUUGGUGACACAGUUAUUACUAAUAUUUACUUCUUGGCUCACUCUACAUCCUCAGGUUUGAUCCAGAGGUAGUUCUACUUUCUGGACACAAAGCUGUACUAUCCCUCCACUGAGGAGCAGGAAGGAAGGUAUCACCAAUAUUCUUCAUCCUACUAGGCAGCUUUUUGGGUUGCAACACAGCAGAUUGAGAAUCCUGCACCAUAACGGGGCAGAAAUGGUACUGAUGGAAAUGGUAACCUGGAAAUGAUGAAAAGCAUCGCUUGGGUUGGUAAGUGAGAACUCCAGGUCAACAAUGCAUCCAAAAAUACUCCUGAGUUACUGCCUGAACUGAUCCCUUGGGCAUCACCUCUACGGUGUUGGCACUUAAAGAAUGGUUUGGGUUGAAAGAGAUCUUAAAGCUCAUCUAAACCAUGAUCUUAAAGACCAUUUGCCUGACUAUUGUGUAUCUGAGAGCUCAUUAGAUGUCUAUGGGGAAUGACAAAGGCACUGACUGCACAGCAUUGGUCAGUGUAAGUAACUGAGAAGUGACCUUUUCCCAAGGCUGGGAGGAUCUCAGGCAGAUUUAUGGCCAUUAAGUCCUUUAGGAUGUUUAGAGCUUCUUGACAAUGAAAAAUUUGUGCUCCUGAGUGGCAUUUGAUAAUUGUAGCACAGCAGUGUCAGAACUGUGAGCGCUGCAGAUUUCAGUGUUCAGUUCUAGUGUGGAUUAUGAGUGCUCAGGGCCUGUGGAAUGUCUUAAUGCCAGGGAUGACUUCUUGGAGUUGACUUGGCAGAUCAGUGGAGGGAUAUAAGAAUAACACGAGCCUGUGAUACAAUCACAGCAUGAGCUCUGAGGAGUUUUUUAAUUUCAUCCUCCUGGUAUCAGCCCUCGCUACCAAGUUUCCAAGAGGAUGUCAGGCAGCCAGAGGGCUGGAAAGAGAGGAGGAACACUUAGGGCUGCUGCUGCCAGCUCACAGGCAGCAGUAACAAGCAGGUCCUCCCCACCAGGGUGAAGCUCUGCUGUCUGUUCUCAGGCUUUGGAAUUUCAUCCAUGACCAUAAAUCGUUGUCUAAACCAGGAUUACUGAUGUCUCGUUGCCAGGGAGUUAAAAUCUGGGAUGUGCUGCCUGGAGGCUGUGCAGGAUGAAAAGCAAGACUUUCAUUUUCCUGGCUUUGUAGUCUAGAAGAAUUUCUUUUAACCAUUUGAAAAUUCUGUCCCUUAACUUGUAUUGUUUGGUGCUUACAGUUAAGAGACAACUCUCCUAAAUAUUCCAUACCCAACAACCAAGGACCUGCCUGAAUCUAAACCCCAAAGGUUAAACCUGGAAUCUAGGGAAUGAUUGCUGAACUGACUUCUCUAUGGAGUUUCACAAAGUUUGACACUGUUGCACACCAGACUCUCAACCACAUUUCUCACACCUGACUCUGUCCAAGGCAGCAAACAGAGCAGGGGAAAAUAUCACCGCUGCUCCUUCAAGUCAUUGAAAUGCUACAAAUGGAGGGAAAUGUUGGGAGUUAUAUUUUAUUGGCAAAGGAAAGGAUGAGGUGAUUAAGUUAUAACAGUGCAAAACAUUCAGGAGAAAUACUUUUCAUGGCUGUAAAGAUUCCAGCACUUCAGCAUCAUGUGCUCAUGGAGGUUGUCCUUCUUCUGUACCCUUGUUUGUAAUAUGAAGUAAUAAAGGAAAUUCAGUAUAUACCUGAAAUCAUCAUUUGAAUUAGAGUUGUUGGCAGUCUUACACAUUUUUUUACACAUGUACAGAAAUAAAUUUGCCUUUGGGAGGGGGAAUUGAAAUUUGAUUGAUAAUUACUUUUACAUUUUGUGUAUGCAAAAAGAAACUCCUGUAUAUUAUAGAGAUCUAUCAAGCAGUUAUUAACUCUUAGUUUUAUUGAGCUGGACAGCAGGACAGACAAUCUUUUCUCCUCUUUAUGUUGUACAAAACUUUCAUUCAAUAUUGUCCUUUUACUGCAUAAAGACUGGUUUAUCAGGGUCUGGUAUGGUCUGGACUGUGGGUCUGUGGGAUACAAGGCCAUAGGAUGGUACUUGAGCAGGAAUUACAACACAGCAGCCCUUCUGUUCAGUUUUCAGAGCCUGCAGUCAUUAAUCCCUGGAAAAAAUCAAGGGGCUGUGUGUCAUCCACAAAUAACCAGUUUAACUCUUAAUUUAAAAGGUUUUAUAAUGAA